rnacentral:tRNA from 1 species
AGCCCCGAGGUGAUUUUCAUGUUGAAUUGCAAGUUCAAGGAGCAGUCUUCUGCCGGGGCUU